CUCACCAUGGGAUGGAGCUGGAUUAUCUUCUUCCUGGUGGCAGCAACUAUAGGUGUCCACUCCCAGGUCCAGCUGCAGCAGUCUGGUCCAGAGCUGAGGAAACCUGGGUCCUCAGUGAAGUUGUCCUGCAAGGCUUCAGGCUAUAGCUUCACUGGCUACUAUAUGCACUGGGUGAUGCAGAGGCCUGGACAGGGCCUGGAGUGGAUUGGAAGGAUUGAUCCUGAAGAUGGUGAAACUAAGUACAAUCAGAAGUUCCAGGGCAAGGCCAAACUGACUGCAGACACAUCCUCCAGCACAGCCUACAUGGAGCUCAGCAGCCUGACAUCUGAGGACUCUGCGGUCUAUUACUGUGCAAGACACACAGUGUUGCAACCACAUCCUGAGUGUGUCAGGAACCCUGGAGGAUCAGGAAGCUGCCCUGGGACUAAGAUGACAGAGAAGAUUAGACUGGAGACUUACACAGAAAUAAUCGUUCUGAGUGUCCAUUAG